GGGAAUGUGGCUUAGUGGUAGAGUGCUUGCCUUGCAUGCAUGAAGUCCUGGGUUCAAUUCCUCAGAACCA
rnacentral:tRNA from 1 species